rnacentral:lncRNA from 1 species
AAGGCACACCAACCGUGUUCCUCUCUAUCGGAUCAACAAGAUUAAACUUCUUAGGAUCCUUGUUCGGAUCAAAGUUCCCAAACCCUUGGCCAACGACAAAGAAGUUGAACCCAUGAAGGUGAAGAGGAUGGCUCUCCGCACCAAGAAUGCUAGUGUCCUGCAUCACAAGCUCCACACUCGUGUUAUACCUCAGAACCAUCAAGUUCGUCCCGGUGCUAACCAUGGUGUUGUUAGGCGGAGUGCCUGUGUAGUUAAAAGGAACAAUGGGACUCCACGGGAAGUUCGGAGAAUAAACUCCGUUAGAUCUCCCAGAGUAGUGAGAUUGAAGGAGAGCCUUCGUUGGUAGUGUGAAUGAGAUGUUGCUGAUCGAUGCAGCAAACAUUGUGGUGUUGGUAGGACCCUGGCACGUCUGGUUGUUCUUAUGGUUACAAGGGUUAGUCCCCAACCCCACCGUGAAAAAGAACUUCCUAUCAACCUCCUGAGGCACGUUCGCCGGGAACUUCUUGCUGUUCAAGCUACGCAGCUUGUUGCUGAACUUGGUAGCGAAGUUUGUGUCGUUUAGAGCGGGGAGCACCGGCGUGAAGAGAGGAAGAUUCUUUAUAUUGGUCUUUGCAUGUUUAGGCUGUUCGUAUUCUAAGAUGCCUGCGACUGUAGUGUUAUCGAAAGUCCCUUGACCUGUGGCGUAUGGUCUAGCGGUCAUGAAGAAAGAGGCGCUAGGGUAACUCGGUUUGGUCUUGAGCAGGACGUUUGUGGUCUGGCCAGGAGCGAUCAAGAUGGUGUUAGUCUCGAAUGGUUUGACGUAGACGGCAUCAGCUUCAACGACUGUGACCGUGUGGUUUGCGAUGCUGAAGAAGAGCUCGUCAUUAAGUGCAGCGUUGAUUAUCCUGAGAAGGUAUGUCUUCCCUGCCUUCACUCUCAGUCUGAAUGUAUCUGUUUUUUUUUAACAUCAUUGUUGGUUAUUAUAUUUUAUCAAAACCAUUAUUAGUUGUAGUAGGAAUCAACACUUACCUUUAGCUGAGCAGUUGUAUAGUGGACCAGGAAGACCGUUGAUUGUGUAAGCAUCAGAGACAUUUGGACCACCUCGGUGAUCUUGGAGACAAUUUUGUAGGCUAAUGAUGUCCCUAAGAUUGAUAAAGAUUUGAUUUUUGGUGACUCUUUGUUAUAGUCUUUAGUUAUCUUCAAUGGAGUUAUUGCCCUCUGUACCGUUACUAUAUCUGGAAGAUUCUUGAUUGCAAAGUUGCAAGCUUUUUAGAUUUUGGAUCUUGAAGUCGCAUGUUUUUUUUAUGUAAGGACUCAGUUCUGUUUAGGCUCUUGAAAGUCUGAUGCUUGAACGCAUAGAACCGCAUAAUUGCUAUGGAGUUAAAGUUAAAGUUCUGUGUAUCAAGGAAGGAGGAUUUAGUAGUCCUGUUCAGUUCAACUAAAUUAGUGCAAGGACAGAUGAUCAUCAGAUCGUCUGGUAUGUAAGUUUACAUGCUUUUUUGUCUAUUACAGCGCUUCUUUUGUUCUGUUUGAUGAGUUAGCAGAACAUUUGCUUUCAUAUACAUUAUCUAAUUGUGACGUUCUUGAGAAUGCCAAAUAGAAACAAUAUUGCUCUAAUUAGGAUGCUUACACUCGUGGUCUACAAUAAGGCGAACAGAAACAACAUCUUCGAAGAAACAGAUGCUGAGGAUGAAAUAUCAUCAUCAGUCAUGAAAUACUUGAACUUGCUCAGAGAAGAAGGAUAUCAAAAGUGCUACUUACAUCUGUUCUGUUUUAGUUGUUUGCGGAGAAAGAUUGGCAAUAAGGAGUACUUCCUGAAAUUAACAAGCAGAAAGCACGACUAUAUAUUAUAUAUAUAGUGUUUUUUUUGAGUUUUCUUUUAAACGUUUGAUUUCGACAGUUGUGUUAAGUCGCUUGCUGAUCUUCGAGCUAAGUUCCGAUGAAGACGGUGACGGGAAGAGUAACGAGUGAGAAACCGCAACUUUUGCAAAUUAAAUUGUUUAUGUAUAUAUAUAGCAUGGCACACCGAUCUACAGUUACAGAAAACAGAGCUUUGCAACAGAAACAUAAAUUGACCUCAUGUCAAAUUAUUGAACAGGACUUUGACCUCAUGUCAAACUGAUGAAUAUGGCCGUAAACCAAAAAAAAAAAAAAACAAAUACAUGAAGCUUGGAAGAAAGAAGAGACAAGAAACAAAAAAGAUAGCAAGAUUUAUCAGCACUUGGGCAAGUCUGCAGGAGGAGGAAUCAGUUUCUGAUCAGGCUUAUCUCCAUCAAGAACAAGCCAAGCCAUCCUCAGACCCCAACUGGUAUGCACUUCCAAGUGACAGUGCAUGAACCACACUCCUGUCAUUACAUUUUUUUAAUUUUCAUAUAAGAUUAGACUAACAUAAAAGCUAUAUUUCUUUGGUUUAUAGUGUUUUCUCUUACCUGGGUUGUCUGCAAGGAAUCUAAUAGCAGCCCAUCCACCAGAAGGCACACCAACCGUGUUCCUCUCUAUCGGAUCAACAAGAUUAAACUUCUUAGGAUCCUUGUUCGGAUCAAAGUUCCCAAACCCUUGGCCAACGACAAAGAAGUUGAACCCAUGAAGGUGAAGAGGAUGGCUCUCCGCCCCAAGAAUGCUAGUGUCCUGCAUCACAAGCUCCACACUAGUGUUAUACCUCAGAACCAUCAAGUUCGUCCCGGUGCUAACCAUGGUGUUGUUAGGCG